rnacentral:miRNA from 1 species
CCCUCCAGCUGUUUUGGGACUACAAUUCCCAUCAUCCCUGACCACUGGUCCUGUUAGCUAGAGAUGAUGCGAGUUGUAGUCCAAAAACAGCGGAGGG